CGCUGCCGAGCGGGACGCUCCUCGCCGCCUGGCGAGGUGGGGAGAGGCUGUGAGCCCUGUGGCCACCCGUCCGCCGGGGCCCUGACACCCGGGACGGCCGGCGGCGAGAGGGGCGUUCGCCGGGGUGGCCGUGCUCUCUGUUCACCUGCUGGGCUCGCCCCCGGGCCGUGGUUCUCAGCAGUGCUCUGGACUGCGGCCUGCCCUCAACAGAUUGGAUAUAACCAUCCACAUUGGAGAGGACCAUCUGCUUUAUUCAGUCCACCAAUUCAAAGACUAAUCUCUUCUGGAAACACCCUGACAGACGAAUUCAGAAAUAAUUUUUAACCAGCUACCUGGGCAUUUUGUAGCCUAGUCAAGUUGACACAUAAAAUUAACCACCUUUGCAGCCAGGGUGGUGGACUUUUAUCUUCACGUGGCUGUAAUAAGGUGGGGUCUUCAUUCUUGUGUUUGUGUGAUGUCACAGGAGGCCUGAAAAAAAAAAAGAUUUAAAUAAGAUCCAGAGUCUCAUAACACGAUACUCAAAAUGUCCAGGGUACAUUUGAGAAUCAUUCAUCAGACCAAGACUGUCUCAAUGAGUAAGGUAAGACAGUUAUCAGAUUCCAAACCAGAAAUGACACAGAGAUGAGAAUUAUCUGACAGAUUAAAAAAAAUUUUUUUAAUGUUUAUUAUUGAGAGAGACAGAGCAUGAGCAUGGGAGAGCCACAGAGAGGGGGAGACACAGAAUCCACAGAACCCAAAGCAGACUCCAGGCUCUGAGCUGUAAACACAGAGCCUGAGACAGGGCUCAAGCUCACAAACCAUGAGAUCAUGACCUGAGCUGAAGUCGGACGCUUAACCAACUGAGCCACCCAGGUGCACCUCAGAUUUUAAAGAAGGCAUAAUAAAAAUGCUUUGAUUAACAACUAGGAAAAUGCUUGAAGCAAAAAACCAGAAAGUCUUAGCAAAGAAAUAGAAAAUAUAAAGAGGAAACAAAUGGAAAUUUUAGAACUGAAAAAUACAAUAAAGGAAAUAAACUCACUAGAUGAACUCAACAGCAGAGUGGAGAUGAUAGAGGAAAGGAUCAGUGAAAUUAAAGAUAAAACAAUAGAAAUUAAUCCAACAGGGAGCAACAGUGAAAAAAAAGAUUGGGAAAAAAGGUAAAUAGAGCCUCAAGGACCUGUGGUAGUAUAACAAAUGAUCUAACAUUUCAUUGCAUCUGAGUCCCCAAGGAAGAUGAGAAAGAAUUUGGAGCUGAAAAAGUAUUUGGAUAAAUAAUGGCUGAAAAAACUCCCAAAGUUUGCAAAAGACGUAAACUUACAGAUUCAAGAAACUGAGUUAAGCCCAAUGGGAUACACCCCAAGAAAGACCAUGCCAAAAUAUGUCCAGUCAAAAUUCUGAAAAUUAAAGACAAAGUAUCUUGAAAAAAAGAAAUAGUAUGUGAAAACCAAUCCAAAUUACAGCAGAAUUCUUACCACAAACCAGAGGCCAGAAGGAAAUGGCAUGGCAUUGGCAAGUGCUAAAAACAAAGAACUGUAACUCAGAAUUGUCUCCCUAGUGAAAAUAUCCUUGUGGAAUAAAGUGGAAAUCAAGACAUUCUCUGAUGAGAGAAAAGUAAGGAUUUGUCACCAGGGGAUCUAUCUAUUAAAAAAAAAAAAAAGCUAAAGGAGUUUCUUGAGUUGGAAAGGAAAUGAUAAAUGAAGGAAUCUUGAAACAUCAAGAAGGGAUAUAGAACAAUAGAAUGAGUAAAUAUGUAAGUUAAUACAAUGGAAUUUUUCUUUUGUUGAGUUUUAUAAAAUAUAUUUGAUAGUUGAAGCAAAAAUGGUAAUGUCUGAUAUGGAUCUCAAAGCCUGCAGGGGGAAUCUUUAGGACAACUGUUUUAUAAAUGACAGAGGGUAAAGGAACUUAAAGGAUUAUAAUGCUUUUACAUUUCACUUGAACUGGUAAAAUGUUGACACCAGAGUGCUGUGAAAAGUUAUGUAUGUGUAACAUAAAACCUAGAGCAACUGCUAAGGGUCUGUUCAAAGAGGUAAGUUCAAAAGCAGUUUUGAUGAAAUGGAAUUCUAACAAAAGGCACAAGUAAGCCGGAAAAAGAAAACAGACAAAUGAACAGGAAAGAAAUGAAACAAAAUGAAAAAAAAAACCCGCUGAAGUCCUAGCAUAUCAAUAAUUGCCUUAAAUGUAAAUGUCAGAAUACACCAAUUAAAAGAAAGGGGCAGAGUGGUUAAAAAUAUAUACUCCCCAUAAGAAAACUCAGUUCAAAAGUAAUGAUAUAGGUAGGUUGAAAGUAAAAAGAUGGAAGAAGGUAUGCAAUACAGACUGUAAUCAAAAGAAGGCAGUAGUAUUAACAUCAGGUAGACUCUAGAGCUAAGAAAAUUACAGGGACAGAGAGGAGUUUUUCAUAUGAUGAAAAGGGUCAGGCUAUCAAGACAUGGCAAUCCUAAAUUUGUAUGCAUUAAACAACAGAGCUACAAAAUAUGUAAAGCAAAAAUAGACCUGAGAGGAGAAAUAGACGAAUCAUGAUUAUAUUGGAGACCUCAACACCCCUCUUCCAACAAUUGAUUAAAAUACCCAGAAAAUCAGCCAGGAUAUGUAAUAACUCAAUCAACAGGGUUACUCCCCCCCCCCCCCCCACCACAGCAACAGCAACAGAAUAGGCGUUCUUUUCAAGUUCUCAUGGACAGUUUACCAAGAUAAGCCAUUUACCACAAUAGGGUCAUAAAACAAGCUUCACCAUAUUAAAAACAAUUGAAAUCCUACUGUGUGUGUUCUCGCCACAAUGGAAUCAAACUAGAAAUCAGUAACAAAGGUAACAGGAAAAUCUUGGAACAGUUGGAAACUAAACAAUUUUGCUAAAUCUAUGGGUUAAAGGAGAAGUCUCAAAGGAUAAUAAAAACAACAUAUUGAACUAAAUGAAAAUGAAAGUAAAACAUACCAAAAUAUGUGGGAUGUAGCUAACGUAGUGCUAACAGGAAAUUUUAUAGCACCAAAUUCUUAACAUUAGAAAAGAGGGAAAGUCUCAAGAAAAUAAUUUAACCUUUCAAUUUAUCCUAUAAAAAGAAGAGCAAGAUAAACGUAGAGGUGCAGAAGGAAGGAAACAAUAAGAGGAGAAACCAAAUUGAAAAGAGAAAAACAGUGGAGAAAAUAAAAGAUGGUUCUUAGAAAAAAUUGACAAACCUUUGAUAAGACAAAAAAGGAUGACACGAAUUACCAAUAUCAGGAAUGAAAUGGGCUAGCACUAUAGGCCCUACAGACAUCAAAAGUAUAAUAAGGGUAUAGAACUAUACAUAUAUAGAUUUGACAACUUAAAUGGACUAAUUUCUCAAAAGUCAUCUAAUAUAAAAGAUAAUUUGUAUAGGUCUGUAAAUCUUAAAGAAAUUGAAUUUUUAAUUUAAAAACAUCCAACAAAAGAAUCAGAGAUUUUCAGUAGAGAAUUCCACCAAACAUCUACAGAACAAAUUCUACACAUUAUCUUCCAGAAAACAAUAAAGGAGAGAUUUUCUAACUUAUUUUAUGAGGCCAGUAUUAUGCCCAAACCAUACAAAGACCAUCCAAAAAAGGAAAACUACAAGUUAAUAUAUUUCAGGAAUACAGAUGCAGAAAUCCUCAGUGAAACAUUAAUAAGUGGAAUUCAAUGUAUAAAAAGAGUUAUGGGAUUUGGAAAGGAUGACAGAGUAGAAAGCACCAGAAAUCUGUCUUCCUACUUAGACAAUUGUCCUGGCAGAAUGUGCUUGACUUAAUUAUGUUGGAACUCUGUAGUUUAUUCAAAGACUUGUAACUUCCUGCAGAAGGCUUGAAUGGGAGAGUGCAGUUAAUUUUGGUCAGUUUCACCAAUGGAUACCCACCACCCAUCUUCCACUCAGUGACAGUCAUGCAUUUGUUCCAGGAGCAGCUUACAUCUAGGUGAGCCAGGGUGGGCAAUAUGGGCCCUGUCCUUCAAAUUAUCAGGAUCUGUUUUGUGCUUGCUGCUUCUUAUCAUGGAAGUACAGACACAGGAGUGGGCAGCCAUUGCUGCAUGUUCCCUCCCAUUGUUUCAAGCCCCUUGCCCUACAGCGGAAGUGACUUCCAGGAGAUUUAAAGAGGUGGCACCUUUCCCCCCACCUUUAUCUCUUUUCCUCAUUUUGGGAGCCAGACAUUUAAGGACGAGGUCCUUAAAUGGCAAAAGUGACCACACAUACAGGGGAAUUUAGAAAGUCUUUGUGCAUGCCUAGGGAAAAGUUCAGGCUCAGAAAGACCUGAGAAGACCUUAAGUUUACACCUCAGGCUGAUCUCAGGCACACAGAGCCUACAACAAUAAGACUAAAGCAAAAAACAACCCCCCCAAACCCCAAAGAAAAUCCUGGGGAGAUAGAAAAGGAAGAAUCUGAUUUCCAGGCUUCAUACAUUAUUAGAUUCAAGCAUGAAGUUUUCAGGGAAAAAACAGUCACAAGACACACAAGGAAAGAGGAAAGUAUGGCCCAUUCAAAGAAAAAAACAAUUACAGUAGAAAAUGUCCAGUGAGAAAGGCCAGCUGGCAAAUCUAGAGAAAGACUUUGAAACAACUGUGUUAAAGAUGCUCGAAAAACUAAAGGAGGACAAUGGAGAGAAUCGAGAAAAUGAUGUAUGAGCAAAAUGGAAAUAUUAGCAAAACCACAAAGAAAUUCUGGCGCUAAGGAGAAGAACUGCAGAUUUGAGCAGGCAGAAGAAUCAGUGAACCAGAAGGUAAGAUAAUUGAAAUGAUCAAGUCUGAGGAAAGGAAAGAAUAAAGAUUGAAGAAAAAUGAACAAAGCCAAAGGGACCUGUGGGACACCUAGAGGUUUACCAUGCAUUGUAGAAGUCCCAGAAGAGAGAGAGGGUCAGAGAGAUUAUUUGGAGAAAUAAUGCCUGAAAACUUACCAAACUUGAAGAAAGACAUAUAAACAUCCAAGAAAGAAUAUAAACAUCCAAGAACUUAAACUUCAAAUAAGAUGAAUUCAAGGAGACCCACACAGAGACACAUAAAUUGUUGGCAACUAAAACAGAAUCUUGAAAUCAGCAAGAGAAGCAAAUCAUCACAUAACAAGGAUCUUCAAUAAGACUAUCACCAGAUUCCUCAUUUGAAACUUUGUAGGCCAGAGGUCAGUGGGCUAGCAUAUUCAAAGUAGUGAAAGGGAAAAAAAGAUGUCAGCCAAGAAUACUGUAUCUGCCAAACUGUCCUUCAGAAGCGGUGAAGAAAUUAAACCCAAAGCUAGCAGAAAGAAAGUAAUGGAGAUCAGAGAUGAACAACACAUGGAAUAGAAAAAAACAAAUAAGGAUUCUAGGAAGAUGGGGUCAGAAGCCUCAGGAAUCUGUUUCCCUCCUCAGACAACAAUUGUACUUGCAGAAUCAUCUGAUAUAACUAUUUUGGAACUCGAGUCUGUUGAAGGCUUGCAACUUUUAGGGAAAGGCUUGGAUGGUAAAUUUUACUUUAUUUCUGUUCUUAGCAUGAUAGUAACUACACAUCCCAACCCCCAGCCACUUGACAGACAGCCGUGUUGCUGGAUCAGCUUGCACACAGCUUGUGGGAGCCAAGCAGGCAAGAAGGACUCUGUCCUCUGAAUAUCAGGGAUCUUUCCUCUGAUCACUGCCGCUUCUGAUCAUAGAGGUUCAAAGAGGCAGGGAGCCAUUGCUAUUGCACCUCCCCCAUCUGGCUCAAGUGUGUUACAAUAUAUUUAAAGGGCCAGUGCCCUUUCCCCCCUUUUGUCCCUUAAUUUUUUGUUUUGUGUGUCGGGGGGAGAUGGGGAGUCAGAACCAGAUGUUAAAGGCUAAGGUAUUCAAACACUCCUGCAUAUACAGGAAAAAUUAGAAAGUAAUUAUGCAUGUCCAAGGAAAAGAGAUGAGAAGAGUUAAAUCUACAUCUCAGGCUGAUUCUCAGCACAGAAAUGGUAUAACAAUCAAAAAGACAAGUAACAACAGCAAACCCUGAGGGAAGGGGAAGAAUCUAAUUUUCAGAGUUAUCACAUUAUUAGAUUCAAAUGUCUAGUGUUCAACAAAAUAUCACAAGUCAAAGAGACAGGAAAAUAUGUCUCAUUCAAAGGAAAAAAAUACAACAGAAUCUGUCCCUGAAAAAUACAUUGGGAGAUAUAUUAGGCAAAGACUUGGUGGUAAAGAUACUAAAAGUCAAUGGGACGCCUGGGUGGUUCAGUUGGUUAAGUGUCUGACUUCAGCUCAGGUCAUGAUCUCGCACUCCAUGAGUUCGAGCCUCAUGUUGGGCUCUGUGCUGACAGCUCAGAGCCUGGAGCCUGCUUCAGAUUCUGUGUUUCCAUCUCUCUCUGCCCCUUCCCCACUCAUACACUGUCUCUUUCAAAAAUAAAUAUUUAAAAAAAUUUAAAAAACACUAAAAGUCAAGAAAACAAUGUGAGAACAAAAUGCAAGUAUUCAUUAAGAGAUGGAAAAUCCAGAAAGAAACUAAAAUGAAAUUCUUUAGCUGAACAGUACAAUAACUAAAGUAAAUCACAAGGAGUCAAAGGCAGAUUUGAGCUGGCAGAACAUAAAUCAGUACUUUAAGGUAGGACAAUGGAAGUUAUUGAGGCUCAGGAACAGAAAAAGAUGAAAAAUAGCAAACACAGCCUGGAUGUCUAUGGGAAACCAUCAAAAGCACCAACAUAGGCAUUGUGGGAGUCUCAAAGAAGAAGAGUGAGAAAGGGGCGGAGAGAAUAUUUGAUGAAAUGAUGACUGAGAAUUUCCCAAAUUUGAAAAAGGACAUGAAUAGAAACAUCCAAGAAGCUCAACAAACUUCAAGUAAGAUGAGCUCAAAAAGACCCACUCCUUGGGUCCUCCCUCAACCUCCAGGAGCUCGUGGAGGGAUGUGUAACCUCCCCCUCUUGUCCACCCUAUUCCCAGGAUGAGAGGAAGCCUCUCUCCUUCCCCAUCAGACUGGAUGUGCCUUUAUCCUCCAAUGCCCCGACCUCUCUGAACACCCCCAUUCUCCACCUGGUGGUGCAGGGUGCUCCUUGACUCACCCAAAUUCAACAGUUCAGGGGGCUCCCCUGCUAUAUCUCCUCCCAUCCUGUACCCUAUUUCUGGGGCCUCAUCACUGUGGAAGACAGGGACAGUAAGGGUAUAAAUGGAUGGGAGGCAUGGGGAAGGUUUUGGAGUAGAACCAGGGUGUGUGUGUAUGAAGGGGGAGUGAUAAAGUCCCCUAGGGGAGGGGGGGACUAACCUUGUCUGGUGGAUGAGAAGGCAUACUUAUUUUUUGCCUUCUGUAUGGUAUUUGAAAAGAGAACUAAAAAAUCCAAAUGGCAAAAACACCCCACAUUAUAAUCAAACUUUCAAAAGCCAAAGAAAAAGGGCAAAUCUUGAAAGCAGCGAGAGAAGACAAUUGUCACAUACAAGUGAUCCUCAGAGAUUUGCAGAUCUUUUUUUUUUUUUUUUAUAAGAAACUUCGGAAGCUAGAAGACAGUGGGCAGAUGCAUUCUAAGUGCUCAAAGAAAAAGAACCUCUCAACCAAGAACCCUAUAUCCAGCAAAACUGCCCUUCAGAAGUGGGGAAGAAAUCAAGACAUUACUUGAUAAAAGCUGAGGGAGUUUGUGACCACUAGACCUGCUCUGCAAGAAAUGCUUAAGGGAACCCUGCAAAAUGAAAGGAGACUGUACAUUAGCCUGAAGCUGUGAGGAGAAAUAAAGAUCUCGGUAAAAAUAAACACAUGGACAGUUAUAAAAGCUAGGAUUAUUGUAAUAGCUUGUAACUGUGCUUUUUCUUUUUUAUGGAAUUUAUGAUACUAAUGUGUUUAAAUAAAAAAUGCUAAUGUAGUUAUUACUGUAA